GACGUAGGAGGCGAGCGUUAUCCGGAUUCACUGGGCGUAAAGCGCAUGUAGGCGGUUGCACAAGUCCGUUGUUAAAGCCCCUGGCUCAACUGGGGGAGGUCAAUGGAGACUGUGCGACUUGAGGGCAAUAGAGGCACGUGGAACUCCCGGUGUAGCGGUGGAAUGCGUAGAGAUCGGGAAGAACACCCGUGGCGAAGGCGGUGUGCUGGGUUGCACCUGACGCUGAGGAGCGAAAGCGUGGGGAGCAAACAGG
rnacentral:rRNA from 1 species